AAGUACGUGUAUAACAAUACGAUAUAUAGCCUUAUUAAUUUUAUACAUAUAUUGAAACGAAAGAUUUAAUCAGAUUACCGACGAUGAGGAGGUUAACCCUCCAUAAUAUUAUGUAAAUUUGAAGUCGCACACUAAAGUGAAUAGAAGAGAAUUUUUCUAACAUUAUUCCUGAUAUAAAAAAGCAUCAGAAAAAAACGAGAAAAAAUGAAAGAUAUUGCUGGUAUUGGAUAAUCUUCAAUUGCAUCGCAUCAGGAUGUGUUUUAAGAAAAUAAGAAGGUUAUACGAAAAAUGCUUAUUUCAACAAAUAUUGCUUGAAAACAAUGAAAACUUCUAUGUAAUGCUAUUUUUUAAAAAUUUAACAUUAAAAGACUGUUUCAAAAUGCUAUAUUAAUCAUCAAACUUAUUGACAGAGGAAAAAUUUCCCAAAAGGAUA